UACGUAGGGUGCGAGCGUUAAUCGGAAUUACUGGGCGUAAAGCGUGCGCAGGCGGCUUUGCAAGACAGAUGUGAAAUCCCCGGGCUUAACCUGGGAACUGCAUUUGUGACUGCAUGGCUAGAGUGCGGCAGAGGGGAUGGAAUUCCGCGUGUAGCAGUGAAAUGCGUAGAUAUGCGGAGGAACACCGAUGGCGAAGGCAAUCCCCUGGGCCUGCACUGACGCUCAUGCACGAAAGCGUGGGGAGCAAACAGG
rnacentral:rRNA from 1 species